rnacentral:rRNA from 1 species
UAAAGUACAUAAGAGCGCACAGGUGGAUACCUUGGCAUCACAGGCGACGAAGGACGUAGCAAGCUGCGAUAAGCUUGGGGGAGCUGCUAACAAGCGAUGAUCCCGAGAUUUCCGAAUGGGGCAACCCACGUACCGUCAUGGGUACGUACUUCCUGAUGAAUUCAAUAGUCAGGAUAGAGCACACGCGGUGAACUGAAACAUCUAAGUAGCCGCAGGAACAGACAUCAACCGAGAUUCCCGUAGUAGUGGCGAGCGAACCGGGAACAGCCUAAACCGUCUACGUGUAAGCGAUCGGGCGUUGCGUAGUCGGGGUUGUACGACAACCAUCUCCAAGCUGAUCCUUGGGGCAACAGUUACAAAACGAUUCGGAAUCAGAAGCCGGCUGGAAAGCCGCACCAUAGAGGGUGAUAGUCCCGUACGUUAAUCCUUGUCGACUGUUGGAGUUGUUCGUGAGUAGGGCGGGGCACGAGAAACCCUGUCUGAAGCUGGGAGGACCAUCUUCCAAGGCUAAAUAUUCUGUGAUGACCGAUAGUGAACUAGUACCGUGAGGGAAAGGUGAAAAGAACCCCCGAAGGGGAGUGAAAUAGAAUAUGAAACCGUGCGCUUACAAACCGUGAAAGGCCCAUGCGCAAGCAAGGCUAAUCGCGUGCCUAUUGAAGAAUGAACCUGCGAGUUACGUGGUACGGGCGUGGUUAAGGUGUUGAGCCGGAGCCGCAGCGAAAGCGAGUCUGAAUAGGGCGUUCGUCCGUAUCAGUAGACCCGAAACCAGGCGAUCUAUCCAUGAGCAGGUUGAAGCAUGAUUAAACUCAUGUGGAGGACCGAACCUGUCGUUGUUGAAAAAACGUUGGAUGACUUGUGGAUAGGGGUGAAAAGCCAAUCGAGCCUGGAGAUAGCUGGUUCUCCCCGAAAUAGUUUGAGGACUAGCGUUGGGAUUUAAAUCACGGGGGUAGAGCACUGACAGAGCUAGGGGGCUUACCGGCUUACCGAACUCCAUCAAACUCCGAAUACCGAGAUGAAUAUCCCAGCAGUCAGACAGUGGGGGAUAAGCUCCAUUGUCAAAAGGGAAACAGCCCAGAGCAACAGCUAAGGUCCCUAAUAGAUGCUCAGUGGUAAAGGAAGUCAUGUCGCAUAGACAACUAGGAGGUUGGCUUAGAAGCAGCCACCCUUGAAAGAGUGCGUAAUAGCUCACUAGUCGAGUGAUGUGGCGCCGAAAAUGUAACGGGGCUCAAGCAUCUAACCGAAGCUUUGCGAUCGAGCAAUCGAUCGGUAGGGGAGCGUUGUGGCGUAGGCUGAAGCUAGACCGUGAGGACUAGUGGACGAACCACAAGUGCGAAUGCAGGUAUAAGUAGCGACAAAUGAGAGUGAGAACCUCUCACGCCGGAAGUCUAAGGUUUCCUGAGCUACGUCAAUCGUCUCAGGGUGAGUCGGGUCCUAAGCCGAGGCUGAGAAGCGUAGGCGAUGGCCAUGCCGUUCAUAUUCGGCAACCACCGAUGUCCGUUCGAUUUCCAUCAUGCCAUACCAACCACGGGUAAAACCGGGGGUUGUUAUCGUUUGAUGGCGAUCGUGAAGUGAAGGGAUGACGCAGGAAGAUAAGUCAGCACCCUAUUGGAUGGGUGUCCAAGCAGGUAGGCCGUAACAUAGGCAAAUCCGUGUUGCAAGGCCGAGAUGUGAGUGCGAGAACCUUCGGGUUUGAAGUGAUUGACUCUACGCUGCCAAGAAAAGUCUCUAACGAGGUUCAUAGGUGCCCGUACCGUACACCGACACAGGUAGACUGGCAGAGCAUGCUAAGGCGACGGGAGAACCCCUGUUAAGGAACUCGGCAAAUUAACCCCGUAACUUUGGGAGAAGGGGUGCCCCUUUUAGUCUGGUCUUUACGACGAAAGCUGAGGGGGGUUGCAAUAACAAGGCCCAAGCGACUGUUUAACAAAAACACAGGUCUCUGCGAACGCGAAAGCGGACGUAUAGGGGCUGACUCCUGCCCGGUGCUGGAAGGUUAAAGGGAGAGGUUAGCGCAAGCGAAGCUUUGAUCUGAAGCCCCAGUAAACGGCGGCGGUAACUAUAACCGUCCUAAGGUAGCGAAAUUCCUUGUCGGGUAAGUUCCGACCUGCACGAAUGGAGUAACGACUUGGGCACUGUCUCGAUGGGGGGCCCGGCGAAAUUGCAGUACCAGUGAAGAUGCUGGUUACCCGCGGCAGGACGGAAAGACCCCAUGAAGCUUUACUGUAUCCUGAUCUUGGGUCUUGAGGUUUUCUGUACAGGAUAGGUGGGAGGCUUUGAUCCGUGGACGCUAGUUUACGGGGAGCCAACGUUGGGAUACCACCCUGAAAACUUUGGGAUUCUAACCAACCGCCGUUAUCCGGUGGUGAGACAUGGUCAGGUGGGCAGUUUGACUGGGGCGGUCGCCUCCUAAAGAGUAACGGAGGCGCCCAAAGGUUCCCUCAGAUCGGUCAGAAACCGAUCGUUAGAGUGCAUUGGCAAAAGGGAGCUUGACUGCGAGACGGACAGGUCGAGCAGGUGCGAAAGCAGGGCAAAGUGAUCCGGCGCUACCGAAUGGAAGGGGCGUCGCUUAUCGGAUAAAAGCUACUCUGGGGAUAACAGGCUUAUCUCCCCCAAGAGUCCACAUCGACGGGGAGGUUUGGCACCUCGAUGUCGGAUCGUCGCAUCCUGGGGCUGUAGUAGGUCCCAAGGGUUGGGCUGUUCGCCCAUUAAAGCGGUACGCGAUCUGGGUUCAGAACGUCGUGAGACAGUUCGGUCCCUAUCCGCCGUGGGCGUAGGAGAUUUGAAGAGCGUCGACUCUAGUACGAGAGGACCGAGUCGAACGAACCGCUGGUGAACCGGUUGUCCCGCCAGGGGCAUAGCCGGGUAGCUACGUUCGGACCAGAUAAGCGCUGAAGGCAUAUAAGCGCGAAACUGACUCUAAGAUGAGAUCUCAAUCCCGCAAGGGUUAAGGGUCGUGGGAGACUACCACGUUGAUAGGCCGGAGGUGGAAGACGAGCAAUCGUUGGAGCUAACCGGUACUAAUAGCCCGAAUACUUUAGUUA